CCCAUUUCCAACAGCCCAACGAACCUCCGAGCUAAUCGCGUCUCUACCCACGACGAGGCUUUGCCAACCCCAUGACAGUCUAUUCCCUUUCUUUGCAUUCCAUACAUCUGAAUUUUGGAAGUAAAUCCCUUUAAAAACUUUGCUCCAUAAUGAUGAGGGGUUGUGAGCAAGUCUCCAUGCUUGUUUGCCUAGCAUAGCCUUGUUGAAAGAAAGAAGAUCUUUGAAUCCCAAGCCGCCAUCUAUCUUACGGCAUUUCAGCACAUCCCACUUCUUCCAAUGCAUCCCUGCUUUUGAAGGGUUUUGUUUCCACCAAAAAUUUGCUAUUCUCUGCUCAAUGGCCUUGCAUAUGGAUAUCGGGAUCUUGAAAAUUGACAUCGCAUAUUGCGGUAGGGCCUGUACCACUGUUUUAAUCAGAAUCUC